AACGAACGCUGGCGGCAGGCCUAACACAUGCAAGUCGAACGGGUGUAGCAAUACAUCAGUGGCGCACGGGAGAGUAACGCGUGGGAACCUACCUUUUGGUUCGGAAUAACGUCGGGAAACUGACGCUAAUACCGGAUAAGCCCUACGGGGGAAAGAUUUAUCGCCGAAAGAUGGGCCCGCGUUAGAUUAGCUUGUUGGUGAGGUAACGGCUCACCAAGGCUACGAUCUAUAGCUGGUCUAAGAGGAUGAUCAGCCUCACUGGGACUGAGACACGGCCCAGACUCCUGCGGGAGGCAGCAGUGGGGAAUAUUGGACAAUGGGGGCAACCCUGAUACAGCCAUGCCGCGUGAAUGAUGAAGGCCUUCGGGUUGUAAAGUUCUUUUGGCGGGGAUGAUGAUGACGGUACCCGCAGAAUAAGCUCCGGCUAACUUCGUGCCAGCAGCCGCAGUAA
rnacentral:rRNA from 1 species